UGAGUACGAGCGGCUACGGCCGCGAAGUGGAUGAUGUCAAGCUUCCAAGAAAAGCCCUAUACCCGUUAAGGCAUGAUGGCCUGUACCCGAAACCGACACAGGUGGGGUGGUAGAGAAUACCGAGGGGCGCGAGGUAACUCUCUCUAAGGAACUCGGCAAAAUGGCCCCGUAACUUCGGGAGAAGGGGUGCCACCGCGAGGUGGUCGCAGUGAAGAGGCCCAGGCGACUGUUUACCAAAAACACAGGUCUCCGCUAAGUCGCAAGACGAUGUAUGGGGGCUGACGCCUGCCCAGUGCCGGAAGGUUAAGGAAGCUGGUCAGCGCAAGCGAAGCUGGCGACUGAAGCCCCGGUGAACGGCGGCCGUAACAAUAACGGUCCUAAGGUAGCGAAAUUCCUUGUCGGGUAAGUUCCGACCUGCACGAAAGGCGUAACGAUCUGGGCGCUGUCUCGGAGAGAGGCUCGGCGAAAUAGAAUUGUCUGUGAAGAUGCGGACUACGUGCACCCGGACAGAAAGACCCUAUGAAGCUUUACUGUAGCUUGGUAUUGUGCUCGGGCUCGGAAUGCGCAGGAUAGGUGGGAGGCUUUGAUCCAUUGCUUGCGGGUGAUGGUGAGCCACUGGUGAGAUACCACUCUUUCCGAGCUAGAGUUCUAACAGCAACCCGUUAUCCGGGUGCUGGACAGUAUCAGGUGGGCAGUUUGACUGGGGCGGUCGCCUCCUAAAAGGUAACGGAGGCGCGCAAAGGUCUGCUCAGGCUGGUUGGAAAUCAGCCGACGAGUGUAAAAGCAGAAGCAGGCUUGACUGUGAGACCUACAAGUCGAACAGGGAGGAAACUCGGCUUUAGUGAUCCGACGGUUCUGCGUGGAAGGGCCGUCGCUCAACGGAUAAAAGUUACUCUAGGAUAACAGGCUGAUCUCCCCCAAGAGUUCACAUCGACGGGGAGGUUUGGCACCUCGAUGUCGGCUCAUCGCAACCUGGGGCUGAAGUCGGUCCCAAGGGUUGGGCUGUUCGCCCAUUAAAGCGGUACGCGAGCUGGGUUCAGAACGUCGUGAGACAGUUCGGUCCAUAUCCGGUGCACGCGCAGGAAUAUUGAGAGGAUUUCUCCCUAGUACGAGAGGACCGGGAGGAACGCACCUCUGGUGUGCCAGUUAUCGUGCCAACGGUAAACGCUGGGUAGCCAUGUGCGGAGUGGAUAACCGCUGAAAGCAUCUAAGUGGGAAGCCCACCUCAAGAUGAGUAUUCCCAUGGCAUAAGCCAGUAAGGUCACGGGAAGAACACCCGUUGAUAGGCUCUACGUGGAAGCGCAGUAAUGUGUGAAGCGGAGGAGUACUAAUAGACCGAGGGCUUGACC
rnacentral:rRNA from 1 species